CCUACGGGAGGCAGCAGUGAGGAAUAUUGGUCAAUGGCCGGAAGGCUGAACCAGCCAAGCCGCGUGAAGGACGAAUGUGCCAAGCGUUGUAAACUUCUUUUGUCAAGGAACAAAGUCAGGCUCGAGAGCCUUACCGAAUGUACUUUAUGAAAAAGGAUCGGCUAACUCCGUGCCAGCAGCCGCGGUACUACGGAGGGUGCGAGCGUUAUCCGGAUUUACUGGGUUUAAAGGGAGCGUAGAUGGGGUGUCAAGUCAGGUGUGAAAGGCUGCGGCUCAACCGUAAGAUUGCAUUUGAAACUGGCAGUCUUGAGUGCAGGUGAGGUAAGCGGAAUUCGUGGUGUAGCGGUGAAAUGCGUAGAUAUUAGGAGGAACUCCGAUGGCGAAGGCAGCUUACUAAACUGCAACUGACGUUGAUGCUCGAAAGCGUGGGUAGCAAACAGGAUUAGAUACCCCUGUAGUC
rnacentral:rRNA from 1 species